rnacentral:rRNA from 1 species
UACGUAGGGUGCGAGCGUUGUCCGGAAUUAUUGGGCGUAAAGAGCUUGUAGGUGGUUUGUCGCGUCUGCUGUGAAAAUCCGGGGCUCAACCCCGGACUUGCAGUGGGUACGGGCAGACUAGAGUGUGGUAGGGGAGACUGGAAUUCCUGGUGUAGCGGUGGAAUGCGCAGAUAUCAGGAGGAACACCGAUGGCGAAGGCAGGUCUCUGGGCCAUUACUGACGCUGAGAAGCGAAAGCAUGGGGAGCGAACAGG